rnacentral:rRNA from 1 species
GGGGAAACCCACUAGCAUAAGCUAGUAUCGCUGCGUGAAUACAUAGCGCAGCGAGGCGAACCGGGGGAACUGAAACAUCUAAGUACCCCGAGGAAAAGAAAUCAACCGAGAUUCCGAAAGUAGCGGCGAGCGAAAUUGGACUAGCCCUUAAGCUUUUUAUGCGUCAGGUGAAACUUCUGGAAAGUUGUGCGAUACAGGGUGAUAGCCCCGUAACCGGCAACGCAUUUAAAGUGAAAUCGAGUAGGGCGGGACACGUGAUAUCCUGUCUGAAUAUGGGGGGACCAUCCUCCAAGGCUAAAUACUACUGACUGACCGAUAGUGAACCAGUACCGUGAGGGAAAGGCGAAAAGAACCCCUGUGAGGGGAGUGAAAUAGAACCUGAAACCGUGUACGUACAAGCAGUAGGAGCACCUUCGUGGUGUGACUGCGUACCUUUUGUAUAAUGGGUCAGCGACUUAUAUUCAGUGGCAAGGUUAACCAUCUAGGGGAGCCGUAGGGAAACCGAGUCUUAACUGGGCGUUCAGUCUCUGGAUAUAGACCCGAAACCAGGUGAUCUAGCCAUGGGCAGGUUGAAGGUUGAGUAACAUCAACUGGAGGACCGAACCGACUAAUGUUGAAAAAUUAGCGGAUGACUUGUGGCUAGGGGUGAAAGGCCAAUCAAACCUGGAGAUAGCUGGUUCUCCCCGAAAGCUAUUUAGGUAGCGCCUCGGACGAAUACUACUGGGGGUAGAGCACUGUUAAGGCUAGGGGGUCAUCCCGACUUACCAACCCUUUGCAAACUCCGAAUACCAGUAAGUACUAUCCGGGAGACACACGGCGGGUGCUAACGUCCGUCGUGGAGAGGGAAACAACCCAGACCGCCAGCUAAGGUCCCAAAUUACUACUAAGUGGGAAACGAUGUGGGAAGGCUCAGACAGCCAGGAUGUUGGCUUAGAAGCAGCCAUCAUUUAAAGAAAGCGUAAUAGCUCACUGGUCGAGUCGGCCUGCGCGGAAGAUGUAACGGGGCUAAGUAGUAAACCGAAGCUGCGGCAAUGCACUUUAGUGCAUUGGGUAGGGGAGCGUUCUGUAAGCGGUUGAAGGUGUGUGGUAACGCAUGCUGGACGUAUCAGAAGUGCGAAUGCUGACAUGAGUAACGAUAAAGGGGGUGAAAAACCUCCUCGCCGGAAGACCAAGGGUUCCUGUCCAACGUUAAUCGGGGCAGGGUAAGUCGACCCCUAAGGCGAGGCCGAAAGGCGUAGUCGAUGGGAAACGGGUUAAUAUUCCCGUACUUCUUACAAUUGCGAUGGGGGGACGGAGAAGGCUAGGUGGGCCUGGCGACGGUUGUCCAGGUUCAAGUGCGUAGGCUUAAGAGUUAGGUAAAUCCGGCUCUUUCUAAGGCUGAGACACGACGUCGAGCUACUACGGUAGUGAAGUCAUUGAUGCCAUGCUUCCAGGAAAAGCCUCUAAGCUUCAGAUUGUAAGGAAUCGUACCCCAAACCGACACAGGUGGUCGGGUAGAGAAUACCAAGGCGCUUGAGAGAACUCGGGUGAAGGAACUAGGCAAAAUGGUACCGUAACUUCGGGAGAAGGUACGCUCUCGACGGUGAAGUCCCUCGCGGAUGGAGCUAUUGAGAGUCGCAGAUACCAGGUGGCUGCAACUGUUUAUUAAAAACACAGCACUGUGCAAAAUCGUAAGAUGACGUAUACGGUGUGACGCCUGCCCGGUGCCGGAAGGUUAAUUGAUGGGGUUAGACUUCGGUCGAAGCUCUUGAUCGAAGCCCCGGUAAACGGCGGCCGUAACUAUAACGGUCCUAAGGUAGCGAAAUUCCUUGUCGGGUAAGUUCCGACCUGCACGAAUGGCGUAAUGAUGGCCACGCUGUCUCCACCCGAGACUCAGUGAAAUUGAAAUCGCUGUGAAGAUGCAGUGUACCCGCGGCUAGACGGAAAGACCCCGUGAACCUUUACUACAGCUUGGCACUGAACAUUGACCCUACAUGUGUAGGAUAGGUGGGAGGCUUUGAAGCACAGUCGCUAGAUUGUGUGGAGCCGUCCUUGAAAUACCACCCUUGUAGUGUUGAUGUUCUAACGUUGACCCCUAAUCGGGGUUGCGGACAGUGCCUGGUGGGUAGUUUGACUGGGGCGGUCUCCUCCCAAAGCGUAACGGAGGAGCACGAAGGUGGGCUAAUCACGGUUGGACAUCGUGAGGUUAGUGCAAUGGCAUAAGCCCGCUUGACUGCGAGAAUGACGGUUCGAGCAGGUGCGAAAGCAGGUCAUAGUGAUCCGGUGGUUCUGAAUGGAAGGGCCAUCGCUCAACGGAUAAAAGGUACUCCGGGGAUAACAGGCUGAUACCGCCCAAGAGUUCAUAUCGACGGCGGUGUUUGGCACCUCGAUGUCGGCUCAUCACAUCCUGGGGCUGAAGUCGGUCCCAAGGGUAUGGCUGUUCGCCAUUUAAAGUGGUACGCGAGCUGGGUUUAGAACGUCGUGAGACAGUUCGGUCCCUAUCUGCCGUGGGCGUUGGAAGAUUGAAGGGGGCUGCUCCUAGUACGAGAGGACCGGAGUGGACGAACCUCUGGUGUUCGGGUUGUGUCGCCAGACGCAUUGCCCGGUAGCUAAGUUCGGAAUCGAUAACCGCUGAAAGCAUCUAAGCGGGAAGCGAGCCCUGAGAUGAGUCUUCCCUGAUACUUUAAGUAUCCUAAAGGGUUGUUCGAGACUAGAACGUUGAUAGGCAGGGUGUGUAAGCGUUGUGAGGCGUUGAGCUAACCUGUACUAAUUGCCCGUGAGGCUUAACCAU